rnacentral:rRNA from 1 species
AUGAACGCUAGCGACAGGCCUAACACAUGCAAGUCGAGGGGCAGCACAAGGAGCAAUCUGAGGUGGCGACCGGCGCACGGGUGAGUAACACGUAUGCAACCUGCCUGUAAGCGGGGAAUAACCCGUUGAAAGACGGACUAAUACCGCAUAAUACUAAAUUACUGCAUGGUAAUUUAUUUAAACAUUUAUGGCUUACAGAUGGGCAUGCGCAUGAUUAGCUAGUUGGAGAGGUAACGGCUCCCCAAGGCAACGAUCAUUAGGGGUUCUGAGAGGAAGGUCCCCCACACUGGUACUGAGACACGGACCAGACUCCUACGGGAGGCAGCAGUGAGGAAUAUUGGUCAAUGGACGAGAGUCUGAACCAGCCAAGUCGCGUGCAGGAAGAAUGUCCUAUUGGAUUGUAAACUGUCUUUUGCGAAGGGGAAAUAAAGUGCAUCACGUGUGAUGUUUUGUAUGUACUCUGCGAAUAAGGAUCGGCUAACUCCGUGCCAGCAGCAGC